rnacentral:rRNA from 1 species
GACGAACGCUGGCGGCGUGCUUAACACAUGCAAGUCGAACGGAAAGGCCCUGCUCUUGUGGGGUGCUCGAUUGGCGAACGGGUGAGUAACACGUGAGUAACCUGCCCUUGACUUUGGGAUAACUUCAGGAAACUGGGGCUAAUACCGGAUAGGAGCUCUUGCUGCACGGUGGGGGUUGGAAAGUUUCGGCGGUUGGGGAUGGACUCGCGGCUUAUCAGCUGGUUGGUGAGGUAGUGGCUUACAAAGGCUUUGAAGGGUAGCCGGCCUGGGAGGGUGACCGGCCACAUUGGGACUGCGAUACGGCCCAGACUCCUACGGGAGGCAGCAGUGGGGAAUAUUGCACAAUGGGCGGAAGCCUGAUGCAGCAACGCCGCGUGCGGGAUGACGGCCUUCGGGUUGUAAACCGCUUUCGCCUGUGCCGAAGCGUGAGUGACGGUAAUGGGUAAAGAAGCACCGGCUAACUACGUG